ensembl:processed_transcript
UACGUUUGUAGUUAUAUUGCCUGCAAUAUUCCAUUUUUUCAUUAUUCACUUACCAACUAUAGGAUCCAAGUACCUCUGUGGUGAGGAAGAGAGACGUGGCUCUGAGAUGCCUCAUUGAAUACAUGGGAGAGAGUGGGCAAGAGCUGAUCUCUGACUACUAUAUGUAGUGGACAUCAUCAUUGAGGGCAUCCCUGUGCUGUCUUGGAAACCAGGCCAGGGCUCUGAACCUCCAGUAUCCACCACAACUCAGCAAAACAUUUAAGGUGUUUCAAAGACUUUUUGUGGGACUUGACACUGCGACUUGACACUGCGUCCAAAGUCUUCCUCCCGAUUCAUGACACAAAAACUUCUGAGUUAGUAAAUUAGUUGAGGUUCUGUUUCUUUGCUUCAUCACUUUUGUUCAAUGGACAGUUUUACUUGGAACAAUGUGGUAGUUACGCACAGACUUCUUCAGUUCCUGGAUAAGUCUGCAGCAAAUAUGGGCAUUUUGAUUUGCUUUUGUAUAUAUGGGCAAAGUUUGUUUUGUUAUGUCAAAUGCUGAGAUCAGAGGCACUUUAUUUUAUUUUAAUGUUGUAGUACAUAUGAAAAUGUACUGUACUGUGCAC